rnacentral:rRNA from 1 species
ACCCAAAGUCACUUUAGCCAACCUGCAAAGGAGGCGAGCGUUUAAGGUAUGGGGAGUGAUUGGGGUGAAGUCGUAACAAGGUAGCUGUAGGUGAACCUGCAGAAGGAUCA